ensembl:lncRNA
AGAGGUUGGGAGAAGAACGAGAGUGAGGGGGUUUCAGGGCACCAUUCGAGAGCGGAGUGAGUAUUGUUCUUCAACAAUUUUGCCUCAAUGUUUUUUGCUUUUGCCAUGUAGCACAUUCAGUGUCUCCGUGCUUAACCUCGACCUUGCGUAAAGCACCAUCUCAUUCUGAUAUGAAAUGAUUUUCUGUUCACCGCAUCGGACGUCAGCAACCCUACGUUAACGUUAGCCAACUUGGCUAACGUUAGUUAAUUGCCGUUAGUUCGUAUUUCUUUGGUAGCUAAGAAGACGGGCAGGGAAGGUGUGCCUUCCUUUCAUAUCCAGCUGUAGUGAAUGGAUUAUCAUGUCAAGGUAAAACCAUACAGAUUUGUGUUCACCCACUACGAUGAGCUGCUCUGGACAAUAGAGUUUCGUGCACAAUGGAAAGUUGCUGGUUGGCUUAUGAAUAUUUUGAAAUGUGUUACGUUACACUGCACGCGGUUCAGUUCUGGAAGAGCUUCGUUAUCUGAAUGUGGAGGUUGACGUUGCCCGUGGAAGGGGAGAAGAAAGUCUGUAGAACACAUAUCAACUAGUUAGCAAACGCUAAAACCUGCGUUAAAAUAGCCAAAUGUGAGUAUACAUGUCUUGUCAGUAGACCCCGAACACUGUAAUGUAAAAAAGGUCAGAUAACAGUAAACGUUAGGCAAAAUAAGGCCAGCGAGCGAAUUUAACAUAAGAUAGCUAUCGACACUAGGCAACCUCAACGGUAACGUUAUUUUUGAACCAGCUCGUUAGUUAGAUUCGCAUUUAGAAGCAUGUGAAGGUCUAUGGCUAACAUAACAGUACGUUAAACUGCCAACCAAGUCGGCGGUGAAAUAACUGAUAACUGAUAGAUGAACUGUAACUGGAUAAGCAGAAACGAAGCUACAAAUAUUUUGUCGCUAGGAUAGCUUGAUAGGUAAGUAAACGUUAAGUUAAAGUUACGUUAACUUUGUUAGGAGCAUGGUUUGACGUUAAUGACAAGUUAACAAUAGUUAGCGUUUCCAUAAUCUGGAUACGAGAGCAAUAUGGUUGUUUUAAAAAUAUCAGUCACCGACCAAAAAUGUAUGGAUCAAAAUUGAGGUGCUUCAAGACCGUUUGGAGUUGAUAAAGAAGCCCUUUCAUUACGAACAUGUUAACGUUAACUUACAUGCAUUCAGUUAGCUGACUGACAUUUUCUUAGCAGGAACACUUUCUUACACAACGGCUAACGAAUCAAGCAGUUGACAGGAGACAGUUUGUCUGCGUCGGUGGGUCAGUGAAUCGCUCAACUUGUUCCACGGUCACUCUGCUGACAUUAACGUUAAUUCAGCACCGUAGCUAUUAAAAAAUAUUUAACGUAAGCUAAAAUCAAUAUUUAUAUAUAGAUGUAGAUAUACCACAUGCUCUGUUUACCAUCAGCAUAACGUUUAUGAGCCAUGAAGUUAAGAUGUAGGUAAAAUUACAUUAGAGAUUCAUGGAUCGACGUCCAGUUUCUGAUAUUGUGAGUUCACAUCAAGUCUCUGAUCUAGCUAUGGGGAAGACCUCUCCACAUAAACGGGCUAACGUUUAUGUGCUUCAAACCCACUCAUGGUCACUGACAUAUUAAACCGCUCUAGCUUGCUAGUGUCCAUCUAAAUGAACUCUGUGGGACAAGCCAUUCAUUGAAGACAUCAGUUCUGGCUGCCGAUCUAUCUACUUACUUAACGUUAGAUAGCGUUAUCUGCAAUGAAUGAAACAUUAACGCCGGAUGGCAGAAUUAUCUUUUUUACUUUGAUAAAAGAGUGGUAUUCGUCCUAGUUGUUAGCUGAAAGACGGUCCGGUCACCAGUGCAUUUGAUGUGCAGAUUACUGUGUUUUCUGAAGUCCAGCAUAUUCCAUAACGUUAAGUACUAACGUGACUAACGGUUCCUGUCAUUGGAAGUAGCUAGUGGCUUCCCUAAUGACAUUUUUGCGGCAUUUCUGACGUCAACCUCAAUAACCCGUAUCUGUGGUUAAAACUGUAGCUGCAACAAACCGAUUUUCAUUUUCAUCAAACUGAUGUAUAGACAGCCUGCGCAAGUCUUGAAUCAUGCGAUGACAACAUUCUUGACUCCCUGAUUGACUUCAUACAUAGGGUGCCAUCAGUCCAGUGAAGCGUUGUGCAGUUG